GACAAACUGACUUAGUUGACGAUUCUGGUCCAAGAUCCAAAAAGGUCAUUAUCAUUAUCAGGUCGGCAUGUGGCCACCAACAAUUCAAGCCUGACCUAGUUGACUUCAAAUUCGGAAAAGUGUGCAUUUCAACGUAGACGCUGGAGCACACAGCAGUAUUCCCAGAGAGAUGGCCAGUAGCAGUUCCCUAUAUAAAGAGACCGCCAGCCGGCAGCUUGCAUUGGCGAAGACACCACCAUUUCACAUUGCCGUGGUCAUCGAGAUCAGAUCGAUCGAGUCAGCUCAAGGGGUGAAGCAGGCAUGGCUGCAUCCAGAUUCUACGUCACCUGCGCCCUCCUCCUGAUCGGUAAAUCCGCGCAAUCCUGUAUGAUAGAACUACUCAGAUUAAAGGCAUAGAUAGAUAGAUAGAUAGAUAGAUAGAUAGAUAGAUAGAUAGAUAGAUAGAUAGAUAGAUAGAUAGAUAGAUAGAUAGAUAGAUAGAUAGAUAGAUAGAUAGAUAGACUAAUGAGCGGGGAAACCAUGUCUUUAACUUUAAUUUCAAUUGAAACUACGAUGUGCGUGUGUGACCGCAGGUGUCGUGCUGCUGGGGCAGCAGGGGAUAGAGGGCGCCGUUGCCUGCCCCCAGUACUGCCUCGAAGUGGACUACGUGACCUGCCCGUCGUCCGGCUCCGAGAAGCUCCCGGCGAGGUGCAACUGCUGCCUGGCGCCCAAAGGCUGCACGCUCCAUCUCUCCGACGGGACGCAGCAGACUUGCUCUUAGCUGGGAUGGCUGAUCUGGACCAAAGACCAACCUGCUGCUUUGCCUGCGGGUUUUGGCAAAUAAGGCCUUGUUUAGUUCCCAAAAAAAUUUGCAAAAUUUUCCAGAUUCUUCGUCACAUCGAAUCUUUAGACACAUGCAUGAAGUAUUAAAUAUAGACAAAAAUAAAAACUAAUUGCACAGUUUGGUCGAAACUGACGAGAUGAAUCUUUUGAACCUAAUUAGUCCAUGAUUGGACAAUAUUUAUUAAAUACAAACGAAAGAGCUACAGUGUCGAUUUUGCAAAAUAUUUUGAAACUAAACAAGGCCUAAGCUAUAUAUGGCGUGUAUGGCCGUCCCAGUAAUGUGCAAUCGUCCAUCGAUUUGCACGCACAUCCAUAAACUAGUCCUUUUUUCGUUAAAGAUUGGUGUGCAGUGCAUAUUUAUUCCUUUUGACGGCUCUUUUCGAAGGCUAGGAGGUUGGAUGUUUAGGUCUUCGAGCAUCUUCAAGAGUAUUCUAUUUUUUUUUCUAAAAAUAUGUAGUUUAGAAACUUCUAAAAAGAUAUUGGGAAGAGAAAACAAGGUUUUCUUUGAAUGAAUGGAGAAAACAAGGUCAUCUCCAAUUGAGUACCUAAUAAAUGGCUUCUAAAAUAUCAAAUUGGCCACACAAAGAUAUUUUUUUUGGCAACAUAGUCGUGGUCUCCUUCCAUGCCGUGGCCGGCUCGCACUCAAGCUCUCCCUGGAGAGGAUCCUGCAAGCGUCGCCUGCGGAGGUCCAGGAAACCUGCCGCGAACGGAUCCACGCGACGCCGGUGCGCGUAAAGUUGCGCAACAGGGUAGUUUUUACGAAGUUCUAAAAUUUUAAGAGAUUGGAUUAUGAGUUGUUGGAGAGGGGUUUUUUCCCAUCUUGCUAAAAAACAAGGAUUAGGAGGAGAUUUAGGAUACUCUUAGAGACGCUCUAAAGAAAAUGUCACAUCUAAUCUAUACCUCUUGCCUAGUCCGAUUUUCCUCGUUGAUUCUAAAUUAGACAUCUUGUCAUUACUACACAAAUAAUUUUAGAAGGUAGCAUCCAAACAUUAACAGAGGCGGUCACAAAAUCCAACCGUCUUCUAAAAUGCCGAACUAUUAACGAAGAUAGACGGUUUUAUUUAUGGAGGUGGACAGUUUUGUCGAGCUAUUAACCACCUCUUAAAAUAGUUUAAAUUACCUCACUAUCUAGAUUAGAAAUGUUUUUAAUAUAAUGACAGGAACUCUGUCAUUCAUCAAUAAUAAAUAGAGAAAAAAAGGUCUAUAUACAAGGUAACAAGAAACUCAAAGGCCAAGAAGACCUGCUAGUGCAACACAUGGAAGGUUCGGGCCGACUAGGAGCUGUUGAAUUCGGCCCACUCUUCUUAUUCUUUGGCCACGCUCCGCCACUGUGGCUGACACGGUAGAACGGGACACCCAACUCAAAUGGUUUGAAUCAGCUCUGAAGAAACAAAAACAGCAAAAAAGCUCAUAGGAGCGUGUUCUCAAGUACUUCCGUCCGCAAAGAAUAUAAUUAUAAGAUGCAUGCUAGUCAAACUGACGUAAAUUUAAUAAAUUUAUAGUAAAUAGUAUUAACACUCACGUCUUUAAAUAAAUUUAUUAUAAAAGUAUAUUAUAUAAUUAAUCUAAUGAUGCUUAUUUUAUAUCAUAAAGUAUUUUUUAUAUAAAUCUAGUUAAAGUUUAACUAUUUAACUUCUCAAAAAAUGAGAAUUAUAUUUUUUCGGUACUGCUAGCGUCCGGACGUUCGGCGCGAGCAGCACGUCAAGACGGCGAGCUCCCCCACCCGAAGCAUGAAAAAAAAAAGGAAAACAAAACCCGUCUGCCCCGAACCAACUCGCCCCGUGCGAAGGAUCACCCUUCGUCCACUCCCCGCGCAAGGAGCCCGUCCCCACCCUCACGAGCACGGGAUCCACCCCGCCCCUCACCUCGCCGCCCCUAGCACAUCCGCCCCCCGCCAACUCGUCCCCACAAAAACCAACCCCCGUCCCGCGCCCGCACAGAGAAGAAAGGCAACCCCCACAUGUACGGAUCUGUCCGCCCACAACCUUACAAACCUAGUACCUCUGACCCUACCACCAGCUCACCAACAUAGUCUGUCCUCUAGCUGCAAUAAUGAAAAAAAGCUAUUGCAAACAUUGAAGCAGAUCUAAAAACGCAACAAAAAGAAAAAAACUGCUAAAACAAACGGAAAAAAGAUAUUGAAACAUAAAGAAAACAUCUAAUGCAACAAACAAAAAUAUGAACUGCAACAUCAAAAAAAGUCUACUGCAAUAUUCAAAAACAUCUACUGCAACAUCGGGGGAAAAUCUGCUGCAACAUUAAGAAAAAGUUAUUACAAUAUCUCAAGCACUACUAAUGCAACAUCAGAAAAAACGCCUGCUGCAACAAAAAAAACUACUGCAACAUCGAGGGUAAAUCUGCUGCAACAAUAAGAAAAAGCUAUUACCACAUCUCAAGCACCACUAAUACAAUAUCGAAAAAAUAUCUGUUGCGACAAAAAUAUAUACUACAACAUCGGGGGAGAAUCUGCUGCAACAACGAUAAAAGCAAAAUAAAACAUCUCAAGAACUUCUGCAACAUCGGAGAAAUGCAUGUUGCAACAACCAAAAAAGGUACUGUUGCAACAUUCCACAUCAUCUGUUGCAACAUUAAAAAUGAAUAAUUGCAAAACGACGGCGAGAUCUGACUCGCCGGAACACUAGCUACCACAAAAUCCUUAGAUCCACAAGGGAAAGAAGAGAAGGAGGAGAAGGUGUAGUAAGAGAGAGCAGAUCUAGAUCUAGUAGGAGAAAAGAGGGGAAAGAGACCUCAGAUCUAGAUCCCUCUCUACCUACCUCGUCGGAUCCACACUGUCAUCCUCAUCUCCACAUGCAUGGAGGUCACAACGCACAAGGAUGAGAUAGCACGGAGGGAGGGGAGGCGCGCGGGCUCACUAGAAGCCGCCUGCUAUGGUCCCCACUCCGACAACCAUGGAUGUCGCAGGAAAGGAGGAGGGAGAGGCCUCAGAUCUAGAUCCCUCCUCACCUACCUCGUCGGAGCCACGUUGUCGUCCUCGUCUCUAGAUGCAUGGAGGUCACAGCGCGCGAAGAUGAGAGAGUAGGGAGGGAGGGGAGGUGCGUGGGCUCACCGGAAGCUGCUCGCCAUCGCCCCCACUCCGGUGGCCAUGGACGUCGCGGGACAAGGAGGUAGCCAUCGCCCCCACUCCGGUGGCCAUGGACGUCGCGGGACAAGGAGGUAGGGAGCGAGGGAUAGCUCGCCGGCGGCGCGGCAGGAGGGUGGCGUGUGGACGCUGGCAGCACAACGAGCGGAGAGAGUGCAGCGGGGCGACAAGAGGCGGGCGUGUGGGCGUGGGCAGCAGGAGCGGCAGGGGCAGCGAGUGCGAGAAAGAGUGGACGCGAGGUCACAG
rnacentral:lncRNA from 1 species